rnacentral:rRNA from 1 species
UUGCCAGCCCGCUCAGAAACUCAAAGGAAUUGACGGGGGCCCGCACAAGCGGAGGAACAUGUGGUUUAAUUCGAUGAUACGCGAGGAACCUUACCUGGGCUUAAAUGGGGAGUGACAGCUGUCGAAAGAUGGUUUUCUUCGGACACUCUUCAAGGUGCUGCAUGGUUGUCGUCAGCUCGUGCCGUGAGGUGUCGGGUUAAGUCCCAUAACGAGCGCAACCCUUACCGUUAGUUACCAUCAGGUUAAGCUGGGGACUCUAGCGGGACUGCCACCGUAAGGUGAGAGGAAGGUGGGGAUGACGUCAAAUCAGCACGGCCCUUAUGUCCAGGGCUACACACGUGCUACAAUGGCCGAUACAGAGGGCAGCUACCUGGUGACAGGAUGCAAAUCUCCAAAGUCGGUCUCAGUUCGGAUCGGAGUCUGCAACCCGACUCCGUGAAGUUGGAUUCGCUAGUAAUCGCGCAUCAGCCAUGGCGCGGUGAAUACGUUCCCGGGCCUU